AGUGAACGCUGGCGGUAGGCCUAACACAUGCAAGUCGAACGGCAGCACAGUAAGAGCUUGCUCUUACGGGUGGCGAGUGGCGGACGGGUGAGGAAUACAUCGGAAUCUACUUUUUCGUGGGGGAUAACGUAGGGAAACUUACGCUAAUACCGCAUACGACCUACGGGUUAAAGCAGGGGAUCUUCGGACCUUGCGCGAUUGAAUGAGCCGAUGUCGGAUUAGCUAGUUGGCGGGGUAAAGGCCCACCAAGGCGACGAUCCGUAGCUGGUCUGAGAGGAUGAUCAGCCACACUGGAACUGAGACACGGUCCAGACUCCUACGGGAGGCAGCAGUGGGGAAUAUUGGACAACGGGCGCAAGCCUGAUCCAGCCAUACCGCGUGGGUGAAGAAGGCCUUCGGGUUGUAAAGCCCUUUUGUUGGGAAAGAAAAGCAGCAGGUUAAUACCCCGCUGUUCUGACGGUACCAAAAGAAUAAGCAACGGCUAACUUCGUG
rnacentral:rRNA from 1 species